GAACGAUAAUAAUAAGAACUAAGAAUUUUCAAAUUUUACAUAUUUUAGUGGAUAAAAUAUAUAUAUUCUGUUGUGUGAUAAACAUCUUUAAUUUCUAGGACAGAUCUAGUUUACAACUGACAUUUAAGUGAUCCAGUUAAUUAGAGAUGAUUGCUAAUUAACUAUGAAAAGAUAAUACUGUAGCUUUCUUUAAUAUGUCGAUGUGAAAAAUUUGAAUGAAGGUUUGUUGUAAAAUAUAGAAGUUGUGUUGAAGCUGUCAUUGUCCAGUCUAAGUUGUGACUACUUGAAUCUAUCGUGGCAUCUUCGUCAAUGGCUCUAUAUUAAUAUGUAAGUAUUAUUGAUAGAAACAACGUUUACAUUGUACAGGUCGUUUGUUUGGAUGUGUUCAAAGAUGAUGGAAAGAAAGUGAAGUAAAGAAGAAAUUUUCCUGAAGUAACGAUGUUGUCUUAAUUCCUAUAUGGUAGUCUGUCAUAUGUAAUAUAGCGAGUUGAGACACUUGCUUUAGCUAACAUUGCCUUUUGUUGUCUUAAUACUUUCAGUAUUUUACUUUCUACACUCCAUUUCAAUGCUCGUUAUUCCUCCAUAUCUUCAGAUCAACGCAAAGAGAAAGUUUGUAUUUCUUAAUGUCAUUUCGGAACAUUGUUUAGUCGCCAUUUACCUUUAUUUCUAUACAUACUUGACAACUCAUGGUGAAAUUCUGGUUUCAGCACUCCAUGUAUUUCCUCGUAGCUUACAUAUAUUUUUAAAAUUUACUUGCCCUUGUUUACCCUACCUACCUAUCCUCUAUGGUAAAUUUUUACAAGUUCACCACCACGUUCUUCACUAGAAAAAACCCCAAAGAACUUCGGUUAUUCGCGUGGAAUCAAGUACCCUGAACUCCUAAUAUGCCGCAAACUCCUUAUUUUGGCUCGGAAAAAGAAUGGGCGGGGUGAGAAACCCCCCUCACAGGAAUUAUUGGAAUUUUUUUUUAAUCAAUUAUACCACAACAUACCACAAAAGACUUUUUUAUCCAGAAAAAAGAUGGAGUGCGGUGGAAUACACGGAAAUUCACCCCACUUCCCGUAUCAUUGGAAAAUAUUUUCUUUUUUUUUUUAGUUGAAUGAAAUACGGUGACUUCCUAAUGUGUCACAAAAUACUUUUUUUUUUUUGACCGAGGUGAGGUGAUGUGGAACCCUCGUAAAUUUCAACCGCCCCUCCCUCAUUUCAUGGAGAAAUUUUUUUUUUUGCUGUUUGUUAAUAUACGCACAAAACACUUCUUUUUGUCCAGAAAAUAGGGAGUGGUGUGGGGUGGAGUGUAAACCGCGGAAAUUUCACCCCCCCCCCCAUCGGAAUCCUUAGUCCAUCAGAUAAAAUGCUUUGCAGCAUUUUUGCUCUCUCUUUGCACACCUCAUUGAAGUCAGGUUUGUCUUUCACUCUUUUCGGGUUGUUAAAAUGAAGUACUACUUGAGUUUAUGCCAAAAACCUGAACCAAAUAAAAGAAAUGUAGUAAAACGUCUACUUUUUAUAGAAAUAUCCUCUAUAUUUUAUAUUUGUUCUCCUUUUAUUUCAGAACAUAGAUGAUGAUGCCAUAAAAGAAUUAUUUGCCUGAGAUCCAUCAAUAUUUAUCAUCUUGUGAGGACAGAAAGACUCGAUGAAAAACAUUACCAGCAAAAAACACAGAUUAAUAGCUGAAUUUUCUGUCUGGAAUGUGUACAAAAUGAAUUUAUAUUCUAAUUAAAAUUGGAUUACAAAGGAGUUUGCAGCAUCUUCAAAUAUUAAUCAAGAUCACAGUUGACAAAACUAUAGCAGAAGAAAAAACAUCUCCAUAUUGUGGAGAGCGAU
rnacentral:lncRNA from 1 species